GCUAGGCUGAGGUCUGCAAAACCUCCUACAGCGGUUCGAAUCCGCUUCCGACCU
rnacentral:tRNA from 1 species